GGCCCUUUAGUGUAAUUGGUUAUCACAUCCCACGCUCAUUAACCAAAGUUAAUACUCAUUGGGGAGAUAUAGGUUCAAAUCCUAUUGGGGCCC